rnacentral:rRNA from 1 species
GCUAAACAUCUAGCCUAACCCACAUUAAUAUGAACCCAUUAACUUUUUUCAACAACUAAAACAUUUCUUCAAUUAAGUAAAGGCGAUAAAAAAAUUUCUUAGAGCAAUAUAGACAGUACCGCAAGGGAAUGAUGAAAUAAAACUGAAACAACUUUCAAGCACAAAAAAGUAAAGCUUCCUCCUUGUACCUUUUGCAUCAUGGUUUAACUAGUCAAUAUUAGGCAAAAAGACUUUUAGUCUAACUCCCCGAACCUGGGCGAGCUACUCUGAGACAGCUUUUAGAGCCAACCCGUCUCUGUUGCAAAAGAGUGGGAUGAUCUUAUAGUAGUGGUGACAUACCAAACGAGCCCAGUGAUAGCUGGUUGCUUUUUAAACGGAUUUUAGUCCAGCUUAAAGUUUUACCUAAACAUUUUAAAUUCAACUUUAAAGUAAAUCAAAUAAGGUUCAGCCUAUUUGAAAAAGGAUACAGCCUCAACCCCUGGGUUACCCCCCGAAAAAAAUAAAAAGUAGGCCUAAAAGCAGCCAUCUUUAAAAAAGCGUCAUAGCUUACUCAUAUUAUUUUAUAAUACCUAAACCUCUUCACAACCCUUCAACAUCACAAAGCAACUCUAUACUUCUAUCGAAAAUUUUAUGUUAAAACUAGUAACAAGAAGACAACCCUUCUCUUAAAUGCACCUGUACACUCAACACGGACCCACCAUUGGUAAUUAACGUCUAUAAAAAUAUUGUAAAAAAUCCUCAAGAAAACUUUGCUAUACCCAACGUUAACCUAACACAAGAGCAUUAAAAGAAAGAUUUAAAGAUAAAGAAGGAACUCGGCAAAUAUUAGCCUCGCCUGUUUACCAAAAACAUCGCCUCCUGAUCAAUAAUAGGAGGUCAAGCCUGCCCAGUGACAUUGUUCAACGGCCGCGGUAUCCUAACCGUGCGAAGGUAGCGUAAUCACUUGUUCUUUAAAUGAGGACUAGUAUGAACGGCUUCACGAGGGCUACACUGUCUCCUUUAUCCAAUCAGUUAAACUAAUCUCCCCGUGAAGAAGCGGGGAUAAACCUAUAAGACGAGAAGACCCUAUGGAGCUUUAAACACUUUAAAACACUCGCACUAUAACCCAAUAACUUCCAGAAAACUCUAAUAAACCCAUCGCUCUGUUUUAAGUUUUAGGUUGGGGCGACCAAGGAGGAAAAAUCAACCUCCUCGUAGAAAGAAGCUUCUCUUCUAAGCAAAAAGCCACAUCUUUACGCAUCAACAUAUUGACCUAAGUUGACCCAAUUGCUUGACCAACGAACCAAGUUACCCUAGGGAUAACAGCGCAAUCCGCUUUGAGAGCUCCUAUCGACAAGCGGGCUUACGACCUCGAUGUUGGAUCAGGGUGUCCUAGUGGUGCAGCAACUACUAAUGGUUCGUUUGUUCAACGAUCAAAACCCUACGUGAUCUGAGUUCAGACCGGAGUAAUCCAGGUCAGUUUCUAUCUAUAAAACGCUUUUUCUAGUACGAAAGGACCGAAAAAACAUAGCCAAUACCCACAUGUAUGCCAUCUUCCCUAAUCUAUGCUAAAAACUUAAUAGACAAGAACCUUCUACCCCCUUCUAGACCAGAAAUCUCA